CGCGAGAUUUCGAAUUUAGGGUUUAUAACUCGUGCGUUAAGACUUCCACGUCACAGUGACGAGAAGCGCGGUUUUCGUCAUUUUGGUUUAUUUUCGCUUGUCUGUUUUCUCGCUUUUGUGUCCCCUGCGCCAGGAGGACGUCUUAACUGCCCCGAAAGGUUUUCUGCGCUGUCCAGCCCCCGGGAGGGAGACUGAGAAGCUGGCUUCUCUGUUGGGCGGCAUGCUACUGGGCUGGGAGCCUCGGGCAGCUCCAAAAUAUUGGCGGUCCUUGAUGACCCCAAGUCUGGGUGUAAGGUCUUUUGCAGAAAAAUGUUGCUAUUGAGAUGGAGAAGAAAUGUCUCUGAAGAAGGAUCUGAAGAGUUCCCAGAGAGAAGGAGGAACUUGACUCUGGACCACUGGGGUUCUUGGUACAUAUAUAGAAAAUAAUUUAAACGUGUGUCAUGAGGGGGCAAAAUUACGAGUAUGCAGUUGAGGGGAGAUAUAUAAAGAAUGUCCACGUG